UGUUUCCUAGUCUGACUCAUUUCUGCUGUGCCACACACGGAAGAUCCUUCUCUUAAUCUACAUUGGGUUAUUUCCAAUUUAGGGAUAUUUCGGAGGCGGAGCAAGAUGGCGGAGGAGUAAGAGGUGGCGCUCACCUUCUCCGACAAACACAUCAAAAAAAACACAUCUACAUGUAAAACAACUCUCACAGAACAUCAACUGAAUGCUGGCAGAAGAACUUAAACCUCCGAAAAGGUUAAGAAACUCUUUACAUAACUGAGUAGAACAAAAGAAAAAGAGAGAGAAAAGGAAUCAGGACAGGACUAGCAUUCCCGAGAGGGAGCUGUGAAGGAGAAAAGAAGCCACAUCCUGGGAAACUACCUAACUGACGGAAAGAUCAGCGGCGUUGGCGGGACCUCAAAGUCGUGGAGAAAAGCACAGCAGCAGGACUGAGAACAGCAAAGCAGAGUGAGAGCCACACAGAUCAUCUGAACCACCAGCCUGGACACCACAGCUUGAGACUCUGGCAGGGGCUGGGCGCUGAGACUCAGGCUUUGGAGGAACACACCCGCCCUGCUGCUACCACUGCCAGACGUUCCAGGCAGUACCUACACGCCUGGUCUCUGUCACUUCCCAGGAUCCUGCAGCUAGGAGCAGCCUGUACAGCAUCUUCUAUGUGGGCUAAGUGAGACAAGUUGCCUCAUGCAUGGUCUACAGGUGGCGGGGGCAAACCACCAAAGUUAUCACUGACUCUAGAGACGGUCAUGGCCUGCUCCCAAUAGGGUUCCCUGAACAGGCACCACCUGCGGUUCCAAGAACCUCAGAGGAGGGCACUGCAAUCAAACACAAGGUGGUGUUGUUCUCAAUCCCCUGGGAACCCUGCUGCUGCUACUGCCAAAUGCUCUGGUCACCUUGAAGAUCUGCCUAGAGCUUAUUACCACUUCCCAGGGCCCUGCAACUAGGAGUAGCCUGUACCACCUUCCUCCAGAUCCUUCCUGUUGGUGAGAGCCCAACGACCAGGCACUGACUGCUGGCCCUACCUAUUGCCUCCUUCUUCCUGAAAACACACUGAGCAUCCUGAGAAUAACAGCUUGCUCACACCAAAGAAAGAGAUAGCAAAUAUUCAAACUCCCACACCAAAAGUAAAUAGUAACCCCCUCCCCCCCCAAAAUACAAAGGAGUAUUCUUGCAUAGAAGUAGCCUUACAAGACUAGUUUGGCUUCCCCAAACUCACAGAAAAAGAAAAGCACAAGCAAGAUGACGAAUCACAGAAACGAUUCCCAGUUAAAGGAACAGGAGAAUUCACCUAAAGCAGUCAGCAAUGAAACAGACCUCUGCAGUCUGACAGACUUUGAGUUCAAAAGGGAGAUAGUGAAAAUACUGAAGGAAUUAAGACAGGAUAUGAACAGUAAUGCAGAUUCUCUCAGAAAGGAACUAGAAAAUAUAAGGAGGAGCCAAGAAAAACUAGAAAAUUCAGUUGCAAAGAUACAAACUGAGCUAAAGGCAAUAAAGAGCAGAAUAAAUAAUGCAGAGGAAUGAAUUAGUGAUAUGGAAGAUAGAAUAAUGGAAAUCAUCCAAUCAGGACAGUAGACAGAAAACCAAAUGAAAAAACAUGAAAGCAAUACAACUUAGGGAUAUUUCAAAUUAUGCUAUGAGUAGUGCCUACGUUCAACUUGUGGGCAUGUGUAUAUAUUAUUGUUGUGGUAUCAACAUCAUAUUUAGUUGAUACUUUUUUUGGGGCCAUGUCCAUGGCAUGUGAAAGUUCCCUGGCCAGGAAGUGAACCCUUGCCACAGCAGCAACUAAAGCUGAUCCUUAACCCUAUGUGCCACAAGGUAACUUCCAAGUUGAUACUCUGUUUGUCUUUGCUUUUUAGGGCCACACCUGCAGCACAUGGAAGUUCCCAGGCUAGGAGUCAAAUUGGAGCUGCAGCUGCUGGCCUACACCACAGCUACAGCAACCAGGAUCAAAACCAUGUCUGGCACCUACACCACAGCAUCACUGGAUCCUUAACCCACUGAGCAAGGCCAAGGAUCAAACCCUAUCCUCAAAGAUACUAGUCAGGUUCUUUACUGCUGAGCCACAACAGGAACUCCCCAAGUUGAUAAUCUUUAAAAAUGUAUGUUUCGGAGUUCCCGUCGUGGCGCAGUGGUUGGCAAAUCCGACUGGGAACCAUGAGGUUGCGGGUUCGGUCCCUGCCCUUGCUCAGUGGGUUAACGAUCCAGCGUUGCCCUGAGCUGUGGUGUAGGUUGCAGACGCGGCUCAGAUCCCGCGUUGCUGUGGCUCUGGCGUAGGCCGGUGGCUACAGCUCCCAUUGGACCCCUAGCCUGGGAACCUCCAUAUGCCCCGGGAGCGGCCCAAAGAAAUAGCAAAAAAAAAAAAAAAGACAAAAAAAAAUGUAUGUUUCCCUUAGCUGUAUGCACUUCUCAACCAAUACUGGAACUGUCACUCUAUUUUUAGUUUUAACUAUUCAGUGUGUAUAAUACAUAAUAUUGUGAUUUUAAUUUGCAUUUCCCAGGUUGCUAACGAUAUCAAGCAUCUUUUCAUGAAUCUGUCAUUCCUUUAUUUUCUUUAUUAAAGAACCUACCCAAACCUCUUCA